AGAUACAGAGUUAGACAAAAUGACAUGUCACCACAUUGAUAGCUGGGGUUGAUUUGGAUGAUCUGACUACUGAGGGAGGAGUCUUCUUCCUCUCUUGCCACUCCAUGUGUGUCCCUCCCAAAGCUGCAUGCUCGGUGGAGAAGGACAAACUUCCCUGAAAGAAGAGAAUUGUUCUUUGGUUUAGGGUAUAUGAGUAAGCUGCAUUCCCCUGCUAGAACCUCCAGACAAGCUCUCAAUGUCCAUUUGUAGGAGAAUGUAGGGCAGUCAACUUCCAAGACUCCAGACACAUCCAAACGAGAUGCUUCGUGUGGCAGUCUGCCUUUCUUU
rnacentral:snRNA from 1 species